rnacentral:rRNA from 1 species
AGUGAACGCUGGCGGUAGGCCUAACACAUGCAAGUCGAACGGCAGCACAGUAAGAGCUUGCUCUUACGGGUGGCGAGUGGCGGACGGGUGAGGAAUACAUCGGAAUCUACUUUUUCGUGGGGGAUAACGUAGGGAAACUUACGCUAAUACCGCAUACGACCUACGGGUGAAAGCAGGGGAUCUUCGGACCUUGCGCGAUUGAAUGAGCCGAUGUCGGAUUAGCUAGUUGGCGGGGUAAAGGCCCACCAAGGCGACGAUCCGUAGCUGGUCUGAGAGGAUGAUCAGCCACACUGGAACUGAGACACGGUCCAGACUCCGACGGGAGGCAGCAGUGGGGAAUAUUGGACAAUGGGCGCAAGCCUGAUCCAGCCAUACCACGUGGGUGAAGAAGGCCUUCGGGUUGUAAAGCCCUUUUGUUGGGAAAGAAAAGCAGCAGGUUAAUACCCCGCUGUUCUGACGGUACCCAAAGAAUAAGCACCGGCUAACUUCGU